AAUCAAUAGCCAAUUAAUUGUUGGCCGGUAUGAAUGGCGUCACGAAGGCCCCGCUGUCUUAAGAGGACUCUCCAUGAAAUUGAAUUCGUAGUGAAGAUGCUACGUCCAUAUUGUAAGACGAAAAGACCCCAUUGAGCUUUACUAAAGACUUGUAUGGCUCGAAAUAACUUAAAUAAAAAGUUUAGAUAAUGUGGGAUCCGUUUUUGGUUAAUGAAACACCACUCUUUUAUUUUAAGAGAGCUAACCUGGUAGGGAAAAUGCAAGUUGGAUAGUUUGGUUGGGGCGACCACCUUUUAAAAGGUAACGAAGGUGAGCUUAAGGUCCGUAGUUAAUAGCUAGUGGCCUGACUGCAAGGGGGACAUCCCGAGCAGACACUGGUAUUCUCUCAGUGGGUUAUAGUGACCCGUC
rnacentral:rRNA from 1 species